rnacentral:lncRNA from 1 species
ACUGAUUCGUGCCUCCAGAGUCUCCGGCUCCAUCGCGGGCUCCAUCCGCCACGGGCCCCCGGCCUCGGCGCCGCCCCCCGCCCCCCGGCCGCUCUCGCGGGAACUCCUCGGCUCCGCCCUCGGCCGGUUAAAGGGGCCGCGUCCACCCCGCGGAGUAGGAACGCGGCACCGGGACGCCGGGCACCAUCGAGACGCGGGUGGAGCCGCCUAGAGCGUCGCCUCGUCGGCGCCCCUCCCCCUGGCGGCUGGCGGAGUCGCCGGUGGGGCUGGUCGGCGGCCUCGCAGCUCCGGGCGCUCGGGCGGGAGAGGAAGAGGAGAGCCUGGGGGUGGCGGGCGGCACCAUAGAAACCCCGCGGGACCGCUCUAACUCAGUUAGCGUCACGCAGAGACCCGUGACCGCUUCCGGGACAACGCUCCGGAGCCAUGUUUCUGAAGGGGUUCUGAAGUCACUUCCGGAGCCCUCAGGGGUACUUCCGCUUACGUGGGAAGAUGUCAAAGUCCCUUAAAAGGGCAACUGGGCACUGUGGCCGCCGCCAACGCGAUGAGGUUAAGCUAACGUUUGUUUAGCUCUUAAAGCCCUAGGCAUUGUUCUGAGCAGUUUUUUCCCCUUUGAGACAAGGGCUCACUGUCUUGCUCUGGCAGUCCUGAAGCUCGCUCUGUAGAAUAGGCUGGCGUGGAAUUCCUGAGAUCCGCCUUUUUCCGCCUCCCAAGUGCAGACAUUAAAGAAGUGUGCCACCACGCCC